UACGAAGGGGGCUAGCGUUGCUCGGAAUCACUGGGCGUAAAGGGUGCGUAGGCGGGUCUUUUAAGUCAGGGGUGAAAUCCUGGAGCUCAACUCCAGAACUGCCUUUGAUACUGAGGAUCUUGAGUUCGGGAGAGGUGAGUGGAACUGCGAGUGUAGAGGUGAAAUUCGUAGAUAUUCGCAAGAACACCAGUGGCGAAGGCGGCUCACUGGCCCGAUACUGACGCUGAGACGCGAAAGCGUGGGGAGCGAACAGG
rnacentral:rRNA from 1 species